GCGACUGGGAACACAACAUGGCGGCCGUGACGGGGAGCGCCAGGAGCGGGGCUCGGUGGGGCCCGGCCGCUCAUCCGCCAACCCCGGCACCUACGGGACGGCGCGGCAGGCACAGUAAGAGGUCUUCACCUUUGACUACAACAAAUUCAGAGAUGAAUACCCUGGCUCCCUUUCACUGGUAUGUGAAUUUAUGGCCAUGACUAUUUAUGAGCUGAUAAAAGGUAUGUAGCAUAUGCUUAAGAAACAUAAACUCUCCUUGUGUAGAUCACAAAGUGGAAUUAAUUAUUUUUCACUUGGUUGUUCACUGUGACAGAUUAUAGAACUCACAGGGAAUCUUGUGCUGUACUGCUUUACCCUGUAUUUCUUGCCAGUGGAAUAGACCCAAUUGUUUAAAGCAUGGGUAGAUGCAGUCCAUAGCCAUCUAUUCUACAGUCAAAUAACCUUGACUGCAAAACACAAAAUAAUUGCUUUAUGUUACAAAAAAUAAAAUUUAAACAGAUUCUUUGUUAGGUCA
rnacentral:lncRNA from 1 species